rnacentral:rRNA from 1 species
AAACCAGCACCUCAAGUGGUCAGGAUGAUUAUUGGGCCUAAAGCAUCCGUAGCCUGCUUUGUCAGUUUUCGGUUAAAUCCAUACGCUCAACGUAUGGGCUGCCGGAAAUACUGCAAAGCUAGGGAGUGGGAGAGGUAGACGGUACUCGGGAGGAAGGGGUAAAAUCCUUUGAUCUCUCGAUGACCACCUGUGGCGAAGGCGGUCUACCAGAACACGUCCGACGGUGAGGGAUGAAAGCUGGGGGAGCAAACCGGAUUAGAAACCCGUGUAGUCC